UCCGAUAUGGUGUAGUGGCCAACAUGAUGCCCUCUCAACUCAAUGAGAGGUUAGGCAUAGCCCCGAGUUCGAUUCUCGGUUUCGGAA
rnacentral:tRNA from 1 species